AGAGUUUGAUCAUGGCUCAGGAUGAACGCUAGCGACAGGCUUAACACAUGCAAGUCGAGGGGCAUCACGGGAGGUAGCAAUACCUUCUGGUGGCGACCGGCGCACGGGUGAGUAACACGUAUGCAACCUGCCCCGUACAGAGGGACAAGCGGUGGAAACGCCGUCUAAUCCCGCAUGCACUCUUCCGGGGGCAUCCCCGGGAGAGUAAAGGAGAGAUCCGGUACAGGAUGGACAUGCGGCGCAUUAGUUAGUUGGCGGGGUAACGGCCCACCAAGACGACGAUGCGUAGGGGUUCUGAGAGGAAGGUCCCCCACAUUGGAACUGAGCCAUGAUCAAACUCU
rnacentral:rRNA from 1 species